rnacentral:rRNA from 2 species
UGUGAGCUCGAUGAGUAGGGCGGGACACGUGGUAUCCUGUCUGAAUAUGGGGGGACCAUCCUCCAAGGCUAAAUACUCCUGACUGACCGAUAGUGAACCAGUACCGUGAGGGAAAGGCGAAAAGAACCCCGGCGAGGGGAGUGAAAAAGAACCUGAAACCGUGUACGUACAAGCAGUGGGAGCACAGGUUUACCUGUGUGACUGCGUACCUUUUGUAUAAUGGGUCAGCGACUUAUAUUCUGUAGCAAGGUUAACCGUAUAGGGGAGCCGGAGGGAAACCGAGUCUUAAUUGGGCGUUAAGUUGCAGGGUAUAGACCCGAAACCCGGUGAUCUAGCCAUGGGCAGGUUGAAGGUUGGGUAACACUAACUGGAGGACCGAACCGACUAAUGUUGAAAAAUUAGCGGAUGACCUGUGGCUGGGGGUGAAAGGCCAAUCAAACCGGGAGAUAGCUGGUUCUCCCCGAAAGCUAUUUAGGUAGCGCCUCGUGAAUUCAUCUCCGGGGGUAGAGCACUGUUUCGGCUAGGGGGCCAUCCCGGCUUACCAACCCGAUGCAAACUGCGAAUACCGGAGAAUGUUAUCACGGGAGACACACGGCGGGUGCUAACGUCCGUCGUGAAGAGGGAAACAACCCAGACCGCCAGCUAAGGUCCCAAAGUCAUGGUUAAGUGGGAAACGAUGUGGGAAGGCCCAGACAGCCAGGAUGUUGGCUUAGAAGCAGCCAUCAUUUAAAGAAAGCGUAAUAGCUCACUGGUCGAGUCGGCCUGCGCGGAAGAUGUAACGGGGCUAAACCAU